GUUACCCUCUCGCUGUGUUACAUGUACUCGGACUCCAAUAAAUGCUCAUUGCCACAGGAACUUGUGUGAUCUCUUGCGCAUACACUAGGUGCCAAUAACAUUUACGUUGCGUCAGAAGACAGCAGAUACAAACAAUUGCCUUUGAGUACGUUUUUUUUCUGGGCCGCUUAUUUUCAUUUUUCGGCGGACCUGAUGCUACGCUAUCUGGCUAGCCGAGCCAAGGACAUCGUUAAUCUUUUGCCGAGUCAUGUCGAAGGGUUUUCGCAGCCCGGACCCCAUCGUUUUUGCCGAAUAUGUUGCAGAAAGCUGGAGUGUUUUUGAAUUUGAGUACUACAUUUUUAUUGCUUCAGCACACUCGGAAAAGCCCACAAAGACAUACAUUCUCCUUAACCUGGCUGGCUCUGAAGCCAUCGACCGCGAACGCUCAUUCGUGUAUGCGGCUGAAGUGCGCGAGCCCGGGAAUAAUGGAGCGAUCCUCACCCCGGCGGAGUCCAGAGAGGAAAUUCAGGGAAAUGUGAAAUUCCCAAAGCAACAGGACAAUGGACACGUACAGAUUUUAUUCAUGGAAUCAAAGACAAGCUCUUCCUGUAUGACUUGGAUAAACUGGGCAGUGCGGUCCUUUGCUUGCACGUUGGUGAAGCCAGCGUUCUGAAUGAACUGCAACAUCGGACACGGGACAAAACACGGGUAACAGAAGCAGUGAGGUGCCCUACGAUUGACAGCGACCAGUUGAGUUCAUAAUUUAAUAAUGGAGACAUCUCCACUCCCCAGACCAACCAUUGCAUGCUCACCCUAUGCCAGCCCCCAGUUCCAGCACUCUAUAUCCACCCAGAGAGGGCAGCAUGGACAGAAUUUCGGGCAAUUCUUGCUGAGUCAGCUCAAUGGCAGACGAAUCCAGCAUCAUCUCCUGCACUGUGGCCUCCUUGG